rnacentral:rRNA from 1 species
AGUCAUUGUAGCAAUACAAGGCAUACGGCUCAGUAACGCGUAGUCAACCUACCCUAUGGACGGGAAUAACCUCGGGAAACUGAGUAUAAUGCCCGAUAGAACAUUAUGCCUGGAAUGGUUUAUGUUCCAAAUGAUUUAUCGCCGUAGGAUGGGACUGCGGCCUAUCAGUUUGUUGGUGAGGUAAUGGCCCACCAAGACUAUUACAGGUACGGGCUCUGAGAGGAGUAGCCCGGAGAUGGGUACUGAGACACGGACCCAGGCCCUAUGGGGCGCAGCAGGCGAGAAAACUUUGCAAUGUGCGAAAGCACGACAAGGUUAAUCCGAGUGGUUUCUGCUAAAGGAACCUUUUGUUAGUCCUAAAAACACUAACGAAUAAGGGGUGGGCAAGUUCUGGUGUCAGCCGCCGCGGUAAAACCAGCACCUCAAGUGGUCAGGAUGAUUAUUGGGCCUAAAGCAUCCGUAGCCUGCUCUGUAAGUUUUCGGUUAAAUCUGUAUGCUCAAC